CAGUCGCCGCGGUAACACGUAGGUGGCAAGCGUUGUCCGGAUUUAUUGGGCGUAAAGCGAGCGCAGGCGGUCAAUUAAGUCUGAUGUGAAAGCCCCCGGCUCAACCGGGGAGGGUCAUUGGAAACUGGUUGACUUGAGUGCAGAAGAGGAGAGUGGAAUUCCAUGUGUAGCGGUGAAAUGCGUAGAUAUAUGGAGGAACACCAGUGGCGAAGGCGACUCUCUGGUCUGUAACUGACGCUGAGGCUCGAAAGCGUGGGUAGCAAACAGGAUUAGAUACCCCGGUAGUCCCUGUCUCUUAUAC
rnacentral:rRNA from 1 species